GCAUUCGAACAUGGAUCUCAGGGCUUGACUCACUUUGGUGGAUCCUUGGAUUCUACUUUUAGGACUUGGUUUUAUGCAAACCUUGGACUCUUAAACUCAGCAUGAAAGACCCAUCAUCAAGGAAAUUUACGUAACCCACCGCUUUCCAGAUGUCAGCCUGAGCAGGAAGAAACUGGAGCCUGCAGAGGAGAAGCAGCUGUACAGGAGGCAGGGCUGGUGAUGCAAAGACACAAAGACAGUUGCUGACAUCAUGAGCUGCGUGGAAAAGCGACACAUGAGCCAUCGGGCAGGGAGCAUGCUCCAUCACCGCUUCCCCAAUGGCUUCACGGACAUGUUCAUGGAUGAGACCGAUCGGGAGGUUAGCACUCUCACCGAUCGAGCCUUCCGAAGUCUCUGCGUUGGAGAUGAUGCAGUUUACAAUGACGAAUUCUUGUGUGGAUACUCGCCUUUCAGCUGCCACAAACCUCUGGCAGAGGAGCCACUUAAAAAGAAUCCAAUUAAGGAAUCUAAAAAACAGGGGCAAAGCAAAAGUGAGAAAAACCACACCCAGCCAUGGAAACACCAUCAGCAGAAAAAUAUAUCCCACAUGUCAUCUUUCCUCAAAGCAUUAAGCGCCACAGAAGAAAGCUGCAAGGGGAUGUUAAUCAAAAAUGGAAGCACGACUGAUGCUAAUGGAGAAUCGUGGGAUAAAACAGCACUUCGCAGCAUUCAAAGAGAGCUGUCAGAAUUCUCCUCAGAUUAUCACACCAGUCUCACAGAUCAUCGUUACAAAAACCCUCUUCAGCAUCAGUCUGGUGAUG
ensembl:lncRNA